ACACGACUACGAGUUGAUCCUGGCUCAGAUUGAACGCUGGCGGCAUGCUUUACACAUGCAAGUCGAACGGUAACAGGCCUUCGGGUGCUGACGAGUGGCGAACGGGUGAGUAAUGCAUCGGAACGUGCCCAAUCGUGGGGGAUAACGUAGCGAAAGUUACGCUAAUACCGCAUAAGCCCUGAGGGGGAAAGCAGGGGAUCGCAAGACCUUGCGCGAAUGGAGCGGCCGAUGUCAGAUUAGCUAGCUGGUAAGGUAAAGGCUUACCAAGGCGACGAUCUUUAGCUGGUCUGAGAGGAUGGCCAGCCACAUCGGGACUGAGACACGGCCCGGACUCCUACGGGAGGCAGCAGUCGGGAAUAUUGGACAAUGGGCGCAAGCCUGAUCCAGCAAUACCGCGUGUGUGAAGAAGGCCUGCGGGUUGUAAAGCACUUUCAGUUGGGAAGAUAAUGACGUUACCAACAGAAGAAGCACCGGCUAACUCCGUG
rnacentral:rRNA from 1 species